CCUACGGGAGGCUGCAGUGGGGAAUAUUGGACAAUGGGCGAAAGCCUGAUCCAGCCAUGCCGCGUGUGUGAAGAAGGCCUUCGGGUUGUAAAGCACUUUCAGUGGGGAAGAAAGCCUUGGGGCUAAUACCCUCGAGGAAGGACAUCACCCACAGAAGAAGCACCGGCUAACUCCGUGCCAGCAGCCGCGGUAAUACGGAGGGUGCGAGCGUUAAUCGGAAUUACUGGGCGUAAAGCGCGCGUAGGCGGUCUGAUAAGCCGGUUGUGAAAGCCCCGGGCUCAACCUGGGAACGGCAUCCGGAACUGUCAGGCUAGAGUGCAGGAGAGGAAGGUAGAAUUCCCGGUGUAGCGGUGAAAUGCGUAGAGAUCGGGAGGAAUACCAGUGGAGAAGGCGGCCUUCUGGACUGACACUGACGCUGAGGUGCGAAAGCGUGGGUAGCAAACAGGAUUAGAUACCCUUGUGUC
rnacentral:rRNA from 1 species